rnacentral:misc_RNA from 1 species
UUUCCGUAGGUGAACCUGCGGAAGGAUCAUUAAAGAAUGGCCCCGUAUUCUCGACGUGGGGUUCUAUUCCAAACUGUGUUUACAUACCUUUGUUGCUUUGGCGGGCCGCCGUUUCGGCGUUGGUUCCGGCUGACUGGGCCCGCCAGAGAACCACAACUCUUUUGUUUAGUAAUGUCUGAGUACUAUAUAAUAGUUAAAACUUUCAACAACGGAUCUCUUGGUUCUG